rnacentral:tRNA from 1 species
GGAGAUAAUACUCACUGGAGUGCUUGCCUCACAUGCAUAAGGCCCUGGGUUCAAUCCCCAGCACCUCCA